ensembl:processed_transcript 1500012K07Rik RIKEN cDNA 1500012K07 gene
AAAGAAGCGCGCAGCCCGGGGCAGCAGCAAGUGCUCCUUUUUCGGUGCGCUGCUUUCCAACUCUGCUGCCCUUUGAGGCUUUUCCUAACAACCGCACCCAGAGGUCCCAGCACGGGUCUCAGCAUGCCAGGCCUGGGAGCCCCGCACCACCGCGAGAAUCGCCGUCCCCUACCUGGGUGGAAAAUCCGCAGCGAGCCGGUCAGCAGCCGAACACCGCACUGGCAAAGCCUCACAGGAGACAGCUAUAUCAGGAUCCCUUCGCAAAAUCUUGCUGGCAUAUGCAAUAGUGUCUGCAUUUGGUGGCUGAUUAUGGGAUGGACCCCCAGAGACAAAAAGACUCGGGACCAUUUCUCAUUGGCAGUAGCAGCAAAACACUGGAAAUCACUUUAAUGUUCAACAUGAGGGGAGUUUUGAAGUCAAUAGUGGCGUAUAGCUGCAUGUGACGAGACACUUUAAAGUGUGAAAUCACUUUCUGGAAGAUGAUUUAAUGGAGAGGAGAAUGUAUAUGAGAAAACACAGCCUCCGACCUGAGUCUACAGAGUAACUCCAAUAUGCAGAUGAAGAUGAGAGUUUCAUGCUUCAAGGAACUGAUUUUAUACAAUUCCUCCAAAGUCUGGAGCAUAGGAUUUCAAUGUAGCCUCUCUACUGCCCUUCCAGGGGUCAGAUAGGCUUGCAAAUGUUUGAAGAGUAACACUGACCACACAAAGUCAUCCAGACAGACUAGCAGAGUCUCAGAGAACAGAUGGCCAAUGAGAGAAU